rnacentral:lncRNA from 1 species
UUAGGCCAACAAAGCCCAAAAGAAUGAAAGAGUUGUCUGGAACAUUUCCAUGCAUAUGUUCAUUAUCCUUCUGCUCAGCUUUUGGCACUUGCUUGUGUGCGAAUGCGAUACAUCUCAGGCUGCUGGCAGCCAUUCCUUCAAUUAUCCUGUCACAUUCUUCCUUAUCUGAUUCCUCUAGAGGUUUUACGUUCCCUUCUAGAUCAUAGUAAUGGGAGCACAUUCUUGAAAUCAUUUCAGCAGCACCUUUCCAAUGUGCAUGAAUUGUGCCAUCACUGUUGUUCUUGAUCAGGACACCACUCUUCUUUUUCUCUGAAUUGAAAGCUUCCACAUGUAGAAUGUUGAAAUUUCUUUUGAUUUGAUCCAUCUCCAUAUUCAAUUCCGUAACAGCCCAUGAAAGAAUAGCUUUUUCAGUAGGGCUGCCUGAGAACUCAAAGUUGGAAGAUGGAUCGGAGGACUUGAAAACACUACCUGUAGUGUUUAAUCCAACCCCUUGAUGGAAUAGUUCAAGAACUUUUGCCGAAAUUGAUGUAUGAAUUUCUGCCAUGGCUUUUGCAGUGAAAACAUUGUCUCCAGUGAUCAUCUUGAUCUUCACACCAGCAUUCUGGCAAUCUUCCACAGCUUUCUUCAUGCCAGGUCGACAUGGAUCUUUUAGGCCAAGAAAGCCCAAAAGAAUUAUAGAGUUGUCUGGAACAUUUCCAUGCAUAUGUUCAUGAUCCUCCUGCUCAGCUUUUGGCACUUGCUUGUGUGCGAAUGCAAUACAUCGGAGGCUGCUGGCAGCCAUUCCUUCAAUUAUCCUAUCACAUUCUUCCUUAUCUGAUUCCUCGAGAGGUUUUACGUUCCCUUCUAGAUCAUAGUAAUGGGAGCACAUUCUUGAAAUCAUUUCAGCAGCACCUUUCCAAUGUGCAUGAAUUGUGCCAUCACUGUUGUUCUUGAUCAGGACACCACUCUUCUUUUUCUCUGAAUUGAAAGCUUCCACAUGUAGAAUGUUGAAAUUUCUUUUGAUUUGAUCCAUCUCCAUAUUCAAUUCCGUAACAGCCCAUGAAAGAAUAGCUUUUUCAGUAGGGCUGCCUGAGAACUCAAAGUUGGAAGAUGGAUCGGAGGACUUGAAAACACUACCUGUAGUGUUUAAUCCAACCCCUUGAUGGAAUAAUUCAAGAACUUUUGCUGAAAUUGUUGUAUGACUUUCUGCCUUCACGUGCUGUAUGCCUAAGAAAAACUUUGUGACAGUCAUCUUGUUUAAUGUAAGAGUACCUGUUUUGUCUGUACAGAUGAUGGUUGCAGAGCCCAUAGUCUCACAAGCAGAGAGCUUCCUCACUAUUGCCUUAUCAUCCAUCAUUCUCUUCAUCAGGUAAGCCAGAGUAAGUGUAAUAGCUAAAGGUAAGCCUUCAGGAAUCGCGACAACAACAAUGAUAACAGCAUUAGCAACAAUUCCCACCACAGCAUUGAUCACAUCACCGGAUGAUGUCUUGCUCCGGUUGAAUUUUUUAUUCCCAUUCUCAUCUUUUGUGGUCCCGGUAAAGUAUAGUACCAAUUGGACAACAAAAACCAAGAAGGCAACUAACCAUCCAACUUUAUCAAUUGAUGAAGUGAGCUUUUCGAGUCGUUCUUGGAGAGGGGUGUGCUCGUUAGGGCCACUGCUAAUUUCGCUCAUCAUUUCACCCCAGGUCGUGUUCAUGUUAACCGAUGUCACAAGCAUCAUUCCAUAGCCAUCGACAACCUUAGUGCCAGAAAUCAAGAAUGGAUUUUGGCUGAUAUUAAUCUCUACAUGAUCACUUUCACCUGUCAUGCUAGAUUCAUCCACUUGUAAAGAAUGACCCUGUACCAAAAUCCCAUCAGCAGGGACUUGAUCUCCAAUCUUCAAGCAAAUGACAUCUCCAACCACAAUUUCAAAUAUUGAUAUCUGUUGGCGCCUCCCCUUUCUAACAGCUUCUACUUGAAUAAUUUUGGUCUCUUUAGAAAGCUUAUCAAACUGUCUGGUUUGUCUAAAAUGACUAGUAGACGAAACAGUGACGAAAAGUAACACAGCGACAUAAAUACCCCCUCCAUCACACCAUCCUUCUUUCACUCCAUCCUCCUUAAUUCCCAAUACAAUAGACAGAGCACCCCAGAUCAAAAGUACAAUGAUGGUGGGAUAUUUGAAUGAUUCCCAAACAAAAAUGAAGAAACUCUUAGCAGGUGCCUUACGAUACAUGUUGCUUCCAAAAGCCUCAUGUCUACGUGCAACGUCUUCUGGAUCUCCGCUUACACCAUUAGUUGUAUCAGUUUUGAGAGAAGCAGCAACACCUUGUACACCUCCAAGGUCAGCAAGUUCGUCAGUGUUUUUAUCUUUGACAAGCUUAGCUAGACUUGAGUGAUCAAUGCCUGAGAAAAAAGGGUGGUCUUGAACUACAUCAAUCGCGAUUGUAUCACCAAGUACUUUUGUUGGAUUGUAAGCAGGUGAUCCAUGACUAUAAGAUGGCACAAUGGCAGGUGAUACCUUAUUUUUAAAAGCUCUGGAACAGUAGAUGGUAGCAAACGCUAAGUGCCAUCUUUUUUUGUUGGAGGAUUCAAUUUCUGCUGGAAAAUCAGUUGUAAUAUUGUUCAUGCAGAGAUAACGCAAAUUUUCUUGAAACAUGUUGGAUGGAAAAUGUGUAUAAUAACAAUAAAUUAAAAGGAUAAAAAUAUCAAACAAUUGAUUGAAUGUGUUUUGGAGUGAAGUAGUAAUAAUCCCCUAAAGCUCAACCCGUCCCACACCACCCCAUUGUCAUCUCUACGCGUAAUCAAAUCAAUGAAGUUCUGUUGACUGUACUUCACAGAAAUUUCUACUUCCUGCCUUUGAAAAUGAUACAUUUGGAAUGUAUCUAAUUUUGAGUUUAAUCAGAACUUUACAUGUAAUUAAGUUCUACAAUUUAAUUUUUGGAUAAUUACAACCCUAAACACUUCGGUCAACUACAAAAUGUACACCAUCCAAGAUAUGUAAUUUGAGUUUAAUGGGGGAACUUUACACAAACAAUAUAAUUAGAGUCUUAACUUAAUAUAUAUAUGUUAGCACUUAGCAGUGUAAAAGAUCUUGGCUUUUAUACAGUCAAAUUUUUUUUAUCAGAUAUUACAGCAGAUUAGCAUGUAAUGAUUUCUUAAUUACUGCGAUAUUUCAUUAUUCUGUAGUUAGAAAAACUAUCCAUCUCACAUUAUUUAACAAAAUAAACAAUUUGAUGCACUAAGCUUUUAUUGUGUAUAGAAUUUAGGAAAGGACCAUACCACAUGAGUUUCUUUUUGUUACAAAUUGGUCACACCGACAGAUAACAAUAUGAUCCGUGUGGGGUAGUAUUAAUUAUGAAAUGCAGGGAAAGCAGCCAUUUGUUCGUUUCAAAAUGUGAAAAAACUUAAGAUGGUAGAGACGUAACCAACAAAAAUUGCUUGAGAUUGACCGAUACAUUUGUACUCUUUUAUCUCCAUUUUCACAUUUUUAUCUCUCACUCACCACCCCCACCAGUUCCCCUCAUCUGCACCCCUCUUCUUUUUGUCUUUUUUUUUUUUUUUUUUUUUUUUUUUUUUUACUUUUGUCUUUUUUCAUAUAUUUUUUUUUCACCUAAUGUAGUUCUUUAAAAAUUGAAAUGUGGAAGAUAAAAACAAAAUCCAUUUUUUCGUUUGGUAAUUGAGAAAAGGUUAAAACUAAAAGACAACAAAUCACAUAGUAAUGUAGGGUCCAUACCCAUUAUACAUAAAAUAUAAGGAAAGGUAAAUGCAGGAAAGGUUGAAAGAUUUAUUGCUUAUUGUUAAAGUCAACAAAUGCCGCAACAAACCAAAGCUCACCAUUUAUUUUUCAACUAAAAUCUUACCAAAAAAUCUGCAUAUUUGCAUAUUUGCGAAGGUUGAAUUUUUGGUGUUUUUAUGUUGUUACUAGUGACAUCAUUAGGAGUAGAAUUUUUGGUGUUUUUAUGUUGUCACUAGUGACAUCAUUAGGAGUAGAUUUCUCCUAUAAAUAGAGAGUCCUUACUUAUUUCAAAUACACCAAUUCAUAGAGAAAGAAAAAUAUAGAGAGCUGUGAAGUUUUCAUAGACUAUACAAGUCUUCUAUAAAUGGAGCUCAUUAGCUCAUUUAUAGAAUACACCAAUUCACAGAGAAAAAAAAAUAUAGAGAGCUGUGAGGUUUUCAUAGACUAUACAAGAAAAUAGUCUGUGAAGAAAAAUAGAGUGUGAGCGAUAUUUUAGUAAGGUGAAAAUCAAAAGAGUGUUAUUCCUUUUGAGUGUGUAGUAGUCACUUUGAGUAUUGUAUUCGUGACUACACGAUGUAAAAUUCCUUACUAUAGUGAUAUCAGUUGCUCCUCUUGGCCCGUGAUUUUUCCCUUAUUAAAAAGGGUUUCCACGUAAAAUUCUUGGUAUCAUUAUUUUCCCAUUUUAUUUCUAUCAUUUGGCCAUAUAUAUUUUUGUGUCAGUCCGCCUUUUUUCCCAACAAGUAAAGCAUGCACUACAUACAAAGAAAAUAAUGAGGCUGAUACGAUAAAAUAUAAGUUAAUUUAUUUUAUUUGACUUUUUUUCACAAAAAUUUGGAAACUAUCUGAAUAUUAACGAAAAUACUAGAAUUAGAGAUGAUUGAUUAAGCUAAAUUUAAACAAUUUUUAUAUAUACGUACUUAAAAACAAUUUUUAAGUGCUAAAGUUGAAUUUAGAAAUAAAAAGACAAAAAUGUUGAAGUUGAAAUAAUGUAUUUUUUUUUUUUUUAAAAUGUUAAAUAACUUAUUUGUUAAGAUAACUAAAACGUCUGUAAAAAUUUUAAUAUUCAAAAAUAAACUUAUUAUCCAACAUUUUUAGUAGUAUCAAACAAACUCAAAACACAAAUAAUAGUAUUAGUAAACUAAGUCAAAACUCAAAUUAAUGGCAUUUCAUUCACUUUAGAAUAUAAAUUAAUUAGAUGAAAUUAUUUUUAAUAAAUAUAAAUUAUUUAUUUAACUAGCAUGCAGUAAUUAAUAAUCUGACCAAAAAAAUCAAUUUCCCCAUAACUGCUUAUCCAAAAUUAACAAGCAAACUCAUAAAUAAAAAUAAGAAAAAGAAGAGCUUUUUUCUUCCUUUUUGUAUCGAUUUUAUUUUGUAUGGCAAAUCUAUAAAAUAAAAUGAACUAUUUGUACCAUACAUUAAAAAAAAAUCAAUCAAAAAUUCAAUUUUUUAAUUGUAUUUGGAAGUUGAUUUUAUUAAUAGAUAGAAAAAUGAAAAUAAUAAAAAAUAAAAAAGAAGAGAGAUGAGCGGAUAGGGGAACUGCGUGGGGUGGUGAGUAGGAGGUAAAAGAGUGAAAAUGGACCACAAAUUCAAAUAUCAAAAAUUGAGAAAAUGGACCACAAAGGGAAAGGUUGAACAACACUGUGCGUUCCAGACCUGAUCGAGAAAGAGCGUUAAUAGUUGUGUGUGUCGUACGGGAAACCGAGUUCGCACUCCCAUGUUGCCAACACAACAAAAGGGGCUUUACUUUCAGUAACUUCUUUCACUCGUUCUGUCGUCUCAUUUCAGCUUUCAACCUCACAUAACAAUACCUAGUUUUGAAAUACAGUAAAAUCUUACAAAAUUAAUAUUCAGUUAAUUAAUAAUCUCUCUAAAAUAAUAAUUUUCUCCAAUUCCUACUUGGGACAAGGGAAAAAAUUACCAAUCAUUUCAAUAAGAUAAUAUAAUAUAUUUUCAAAAGACCCAUAUAUAAAUAUAUGAUUCCGUAAAAUAUGAUGCCACAUGUUUUUCCUUUGUGCCAAAGAAUAUGGGUCCCGCGUAUUCUUUUGGCUCAAGUAAUUUUGACAUAUAAAUUGCUCAUUACUACACAUAUCAGCCAUGGUACAUUUGGGAAAAUCUUAGUAGCUAAGUUAGUUGACUAUCUGAACGGCUGAACUCACACCUUGCUGGUGAGAGUUCAAUUCCCUAAUUCCCUCCCAAUUCCGCUUUCUCCACCCCAAUUUUUAUUUUUUUUUUGAAAAACCACGGUACAUUUUACUAAUUUUAUUAUCAAUUGUUAAUGUAAAUAAAUAUUUCAAAUAACACUUUACCUAAAGUGAGAAAUCACUUAUUUUCCUUGAAAAUAUUUUCAGAGAAAACAUUUACUUUGUACCAUAUACAAUUGUCUAUACAAAUGAAGUCUUAAUCACUAUAAUUGACAAUAUUCUUAUCUACUUAUAAGAUAGGAUUAGAGUUCCAAAUUUCUAAAGUAUAAAAACCAAAAAAAUGUUUAAACCUAGAAUUGAAUCCUUAACACUCGAAACUCAGAAGUCUAAUCUUAAGAGGGAAGGUGGCAAACUCAAUUCUCUACUUUUGAACCUAAGUUUUAUUGAAUUUUAAUAUGUGAAUACUGAAAAGAGGUGAAAAAUCGAAAUUUAAUGCUUUUUAAGGUGACCUCAAGUUAAUAUACGAUAAUAAUUAAGUUGGUCAACUUUUUUAUUUUGAUAUGUAAUGAAUUUCAUAAUAUCUAUAGUCUGUGCAAAAGUUAUUGGGUUCUCAUGAACACAUAUUUAUUAUCUAGUGGAGAUCAAAAUAACCAUGAGGGAGGAAGGGUAACGGGAACCUAAUUCAUAGUCCAUUCAUUAUGAUCAUGGAUGGACAGAACCAAUUAGAAGUGCAAAUCACACAACCGAAGCUAACUAGGAAGUAGACCCUCAAAGUCUUCCGAAGAAGCAAGCUUCAACGCUCCCCAAGACAGCAGAGCUAUCAUUGUGGGGAGGUUAAAGAGCAUCCAACGCGCCAUGACUAGGACUCGUGUUAGAGGAGAGAUCUGAUAUUAGGUAGAAGGUGUUUAAAGAAAUUGCAAAUGCCAGUCUAAAGCUUCAAAUUUUUGAACAUAUUAUCAGCUCAAGUAUGUUGACAAUCAUAAACGAAGUACACUAUGGUUUUUAAUAUAAAUAAUGGAAUGUAACAUAAAUCAAUUAAUCAAAACAGAUACUAACUAGCUUAUGCAAAAAACAUAGGUAACACCUAAAUCUACUCAUUUAAACAAGGCUUUCAAGUAAUUCAACCUUAGAUAACUAAAGAAUGGUCUCUCUGGGACAUUUAUGCACUUGACAAGCCAACCAAUUGGCCAAGAUGCAGCUGCAAAUCCAAUGCAAAUUCCCCAUUGCCCCCAAUUCAGCCUCUCUGUAUUUGCAAACUUCUUUAGAAACUCCACCAUCACCACUUGGAGAACCAAUGUUAUUCCGAUGAUCGCCAUGAACAACUUGUUCUUGUGUAUUCCCUUAAAGACAUUCUUCUUCUCCAGGUUUCGCGCGUUGAAUUCAUUGAACACUUGGCAAAGAACAAACGUGUUGAAGAUCAACGUAUCGUUUACUCUCUUGCUGACACCAAAGAUUGAUUCUCCUCUGAAUUGUAAGGUCAGUAAAACAGCAAUCUGAUAUAAGGCCUGAGCCAUUAGAUUUCUCCACAUAAUGUUGGUGAUAAGCGGUGCAGUCCUACCGACUGGUUUCUUCUUCAUGAGUUCCUCGGUUGGCUUCUCUGUCGUCAGUGCCCUGAAUCCCCAUAGAAAGUCCUAUAUCUGCUUCCUUUAAAGCUGGUGCAUCGUUCGUUCCAUCACCUGUGACCGCGACCACAUGACCUUUCUUUCUCAAGCACUGCACCAUUAGAAGUUUGUCAAAAGGGGAUGAUCUUGCCAUCACACGUAUCUUCUCCACUCUCUCCAUCCGUACUUCAUCUGUUAGGUUGCGAAAUUCUUCACCUUCUAUGACUGCUCCUUCAUCUACUUCCUGAUUAGGAUGAAGAAUUCCACAUUCUGUUGCUAUGGCUUUUGCAGUGAACACAUUGUCUCCAGUGAUCAUCUUGAUGUUCACACCAGCACUUUGGCAAGCUUCCACUGCUUUCUUCACACCUGGUCGACAUGGAUCUUUUAGGCCAACAAAGCCCAAAAGAAUGAAAGAGUUGUCUGGAACAUUUCCAUGCAUAUGUUCAUUAUCCUUCUGCUCAGCUUUUGACACUUGCUUGUGUGCGAAUGCAAUACAUCUCAGGCUGCUGGCAGCCAUUCCUUCAAUUAUCCUGUCACAUUCUUCCUUAUCUGAUUCCUCUAGAGGUUUUACGUUCCCUUCUAGAUCAUAGUAAUGGGAGCACAUUCUUGAAAUCAUUUCAGCAGCACCUUUCCAAUGUGCAUGAAUUGUGCCAUCACUGAUGUUCUUGAUCAGGACACCGCUCUUCUUUUUCUCUGAAUUGAAAGCUUCCAC